rnacentral:tRNA from 1 species
UCCUGGGUGGCUCAGCUGGUUGAGCAUCUGACUUUGGCUCAGGACAUGAUCUUGUGGUUCAUGGGUUCAAGCCCCAUGUCGGGCU